rfam:Ornithorhynchus anatinus chromosome 5, whole genome shotgun sequence.
CCCCCCUCAGGGUUGCACCUGGAGAGUUUGCAGUAUUCUACCAGUCUCAACUACAGGAGGGAGAGUCAAGCACAGGCAUACCCAUUCCAUUCCUAGCUCAGCCAGUGGCUAGCGAGUGGAAGGCAAUCUGUUACCAGG